GAAAGCAGUGACUUUCUCCUUGCAAUCCAGACAUGCACACCAUUGUUGUUCAGUGUUCUCCUGAUGGUGGACUCAUUAACAUUAGCCAAUUUGAGAGAGACCUUUAGUUGGUUAGAAGUUACUCUGGGUUCCUCUGUGACCUCGUGAACUAUUACACGUCUUUCUCUUGGAGUGAUCUUUGUUGGUCUCCACUCCUGGGGAGGGUAACAAUGGUGUUCAAUUUCCUCCAUUUGUACACAAUCUGUCGAACUGUGAAUUGGUGGAGUCCAAACUCUUUAGAUAUGGUUUUCUGACUUUUUCUAGCCUGAUGAACUUCAACAACUCUCUUUCUGAGCUCCUCAGAAAUCUCUUUUGUUCGUGUCAUGAUACACUUCCACAAACACUUGUACUGAAGAUCUGACUCUGAUAGAUCACUGUUCUUUAAAUAAAACAGGAUGCUCACUCACUCAUACCUGGUCAUCAUCCCAUUGACUGAAAACACCUGCUUCUAAUUUCACCUUCAAAUGAACUGCUAAACCUAGAAGUUCACAUACUUUUACCCCUCACAUAUAUGUAAUAAUGGAUCAUUUUCCUCAAUAAAUAAGUAAACAAGUAUAGUAUUUUUCUUAAAACAUUUGUUUUUUGGCUUCUCUUUAUCUGCUUUUAAGACUUGUGUGAAAAAUCGGAUGAUGUUUUAGAUCAUAUUUAUACAGAAAUAUAGAACAUUCUAAAGGGUUCACAAACUUUCAAGCACUGCUGUAAUAGAUCAGAUAUUAAAUAACUAUAAUCACUAUCACAGUGUGUGACAGUAAUUGGUUACACAAUUCACCAUGAUGUUUAACACAUGCAGGAUUAUUACAGCUCUGAUCAACACUAGAUUUCAGUUUGUUUGAGUUUGGUUUUGUGUUUAUAGUCUAUUUGUUUGUAGGGUUUACCAAGAUAGAUGAAUGACCCUUGACACCAAUACUCGCACAACAUGAUGUAUUCGAUGUAUGAUUGUGUCUAGACAAGUAAAUAGACAGAUGAAUAAAUAGAUGGAUGAAUAAAUAGACAGAUAUACAGAUGGUGGUGAAAGUUGCUAAUGGAUUGAUGUUUGUAGACAGCCAAUUUCUCAAUAUGUUUCUUUACUUUGGAAGUCGGAGGAGUUACAGGUGCCAGGGGAGUUGGAAUUAACAGGAGUUGGGGUCUUACAGGAAUUAUGAGUGUGACUGCAGUUAUAGGAGUUGUGGGAUACUGAAGUAUUACAGGUGUUUACUGGAGGUUUAUUCUGUUUACAGAAUUUACUGAGGUAGGGUGGAGUUGCUGGAGGUAGAAGGAGGUUAGGGGAGUUGCUGGAGCUAGGGGUAGUUGCUGGAGCUAGGGGUAGUUGCUGGAGCUAGGGGUAGUUGCUGAAGGUAGGGGGAGUUGCUGGAGGUAAGGGGAGUUGCUGGAGGUAGGAGGAGGUAAGGGGAGUUGCUGGAGGUAGGGGGAGUAAGGGGAGUUGCUGGAUGUAGGAGGAGUUAGGGGAGGUGCUGCAGGUAGGGGGAGGUGCUGGAGGUAGGGAGAGUUAGGGGAGUUGCUGGAGGUAGGGAGAGUUAGGGGAGUUGCUGGAGGUAGGGAGAGUUAGGGGAGUUGCUGGAGGUAGGGGGAGUUGCUGGAGGUAAGGGGAGUUGCUGGAGGUAGCGGGAGGUAGGGGAGUUGCUGGAGGUAGCGGGAGGUAGGGGAGUUGCUGGAUGUAGCGGGAGGUAGGGGAGUUGCUGGAGGUAGCGGGAGGUAGGGGGAGUUGCU
ensembl:lncRNA